rnacentral:rRNA from 1 species
GAUGAACGCUGGCGGCGUGCCUAAUACAUGCAAGUCGAGCGAACGGACGAGAAGCUUGCUUCUCUGAUGUUAGCGGCGGACGAGUGAGUAACACGUGGAUAACCUACCUAUAAGACUGGGAUAACUUCGGGAAACCGGAGCUAAUACCGGAUAAUAUUUUGAACCGCAUGGUUCAAAAGUGAAAGACGGUCUUGCUGUCACUUAUAGAUGGAUCCGCUCUGCAUUAGCUAGUUGGUAAGGUAACGGCUUACCAAGGCAACGAUGCAUAGCCGACCUGAGAGGGUGAUCGGCCACACUGGAACUGAGACACGGUCCAGACUCCUACGGGAGGCAGCAGUAGGGAAUCUUCCGCAAUGGGCGAAAGCCUGACGGAGCAACGCCGCGUGAGUGAUGAAGGUCUUCGGAUCGUAAAACUCUGUUAUUAGGGAAGAACAUAUGUGUAAGUAACUGUGCACAUCUUGACGGUACCUAAUCAGAAAGCCACGGCUAACUACGUG